rnacentral:misc_RNA from 1 species
GUUCAGCAGAAUGUUUAUUUUGCAACUGUUGGAAGUUUUUUUCGCUUAUGUUCUGCUGAAUGCAGCCAAUGUAUUCAUUCACUCAACUGAGUUCGUGAACGCAGCCUAUGAAAUUGUACCUAUACGCGUCGUCGGGUGCAUACAUGUAUACGAUGUAUUCUGUACUGCUUUGUAGACUAUAUAACUGUAUUAAAAAUGGUUGGGUGUGCAGCCCCAUUUUGUAAUAAUUCAGUAGCUAAAGGCUACAUAAUGAAAACAUUUCCUCGAAAUGCCGAACGUCGUGCUUUGUGGGCAAAAAAUGUUAGUGAAAGAUGUUGGGGAAAUGGUGUAAAAAAUUGGAUGCCCACAACAAAUUCCUUUCUUUGCGAGGAUUAUGAUAUCUUGGCAAUGUGUCAAGAUUAAGUACAUUUUGCAUUAGAUAUGUGGGAAUCAAGAACUGAUGUACGAAAAUUGAAAUCAAAUGCAUAUCCUACAAUAUUUGGAUAUUUAAAAAAAAAACCAAUGGAAAAUAAUAUUAAACAAGUAUUAACAGAAAAUAAUCAAGCAAAUAAUAAGACAGCUUCUAAUGAAUCAUAUCUACCUCUCGACAUUCAA